rnacentral:rRNA from 1 species
GUUAGGAAUAUUGGACAAUGGGCGCAAGCCUGAUCCAGCCAUGCCGCGUGAGUGAUGAAGGCCUUCGGGUUGUAAAGCUCUUUAGUCCACGAAUAUAAUGACUGUAGUGGAAGAAUAAGCCCCGGCUAACUUCGUGCCAGCAGCCGCGGUAAUACGAAGGGGGCGAGCGUUAUUCGGAAUCACUGGGCGUAAAGCGUGCGUAGGCUGUUUUGUAAGUCAGAAGUGAAAGCCCAGGGCUUAACCCUGGAAUUGCUUUUGAAACUACAAGACUCGAAUUCGGGAGAGGAUAGCGGAAUUGUCAGUGUAGCAGUGAAAUGCGUAGAUAUUGACAGGAACACCAGUGGCGCAAGCGGCUAUCUGGACCGAUAUUGACGCUGAGGCACGAAAGCGUGGGGAGCAAACAGGAUUAGAAACCCCGGUAGUCC